rnacentral:tRNA from 1 species
CCUCGUAGCCAAAGUGGUAAGGCACAAGACUUUGACUCUUGCAUUUUGCUGGUUCGAAUCCAGCCGAGGCAACCA